rnacentral:rRNA from 1 species
UACGUAGGGGGCGAGCGUUGUCCGGGAGUUACUGGGCGUAAAGGGCACGCAGGCGGUGCUGCGCGUUUUGCGUGACAGCGGAGGCUUACCUCUCCGAGCAUGCGAAAGACGGCAGGACUCGAGGGCCAGAGAGGGACACGGAAUUCCGGGUGGAGUGGUGAAAUGCGUAGAGAUCCGGAGGAACACCGAGGGCGAAGGCAGUGUCCUGGCUGGCGACUGACGCUGAGGUGCGAAAGCCAGGGGAGCGAACGGG